rnacentral:rRNA from 1 species
UACGUAGGGUGCAAGCGUUGCCCGGAUUUAUUGGGCGUAAAGGGCGCGUAGGCGGGUGUGCAAGUCUGUGGUGAAAGCCUCCAGCUUAACUGGAGAAGUGCCAUGGAUACUGCACAUCUUGAGGAGGGUAGGGGCAUCUGGAACGGUCGGUGGAGCGGUGAAAUGCGUUGAUAUCGACCGGAACUCCGGUGGCGAAGGCGAGGUGCUGGACCCUUUCUGACGCUGAGGCGCGAAAGCCAGGGGAGCAAACGGG